CAUAAAGGGUAUAAAGCUUGACUUGCAUCAGAUAGGAGGUAUAGUGAACCAUGAAGUGUUGCAGAGACUUGGGGAAAGCAUGCAGGAUAUAGGGAAAUGGGUCCAGGAGAAGCUCCCCAUAAGCAUGUCCAACCCUGUCCAUCCCUCUGCACCCCGGAGAUGCAGUUUGGGUAAAAGAGUGGAACUUAACCCCUUGGGCCCCAGAUGGAGAGGUC